CCUACGGGAGGCUGCAGUGGGGAAUAUUGCACAAUGGGGGCAACUCUGAUGCAGCGACGCCGCGUGCGUGAAGACGUAACUCGUUAUGGAAAGCUGCAUCAGCAGGGAAGUAAAUGACGGUACCUGAGUAAGAAGUCCUGGCUAACUACGUGCCAGCAGCCGCGGUAAUACGUAGGGGGCGAGCGUUAUCCGGAUUUACUGGGUGUAAAGGGAGCGUAGACGGCAGUGCAAGUCUGGAGUGAAAGGCGGGGGCUCAACCCCCGGACUGCUCUGGAAACUGUACGGCUUGAGUGCAGGAGAGGUAAGUGGAAUUCCUAGUGUAGCGGUGAAAUGCGUAGAUAUUAGGAAGAACACCAGUGGCGAAGGCGGCUUACUGGACUGUAACUGACGUUGAGGCUCGAAAGCGUGGGGAGCAAACAGGAUUAGAUACCCCUGUAGUC
rnacentral:rRNA from 1 species